UACAGAGGGUGCGAGCGUUGUUCGGAAUUACUGGGCGUAAAGCGUACGUAGGCGGCUUUGUAAGUUAGAGGUGAAAGCCCAGAGCUCAACUCUGGAAUUGCCUUUAAGACUGCAUCGCUUGAAUCGUGGAGAGGUUAGUGGAAUUCCUGGUGUAGCGGUGGAAUGCGCAGAUAUCAGGAGGAACACCGGUGGCGAAGGCGGUUCUCUGGAACGGUACUGACGCUGAGACGCGAAAGCGUGGGGAGCGAACAGG
rnacentral:rRNA from 1 species